AACGAACGCUGGCGGCAUGCCUAACACAUGCAAGUCGAACGAGACCUUCUGGUCUAGUGGCGCACGUGUGGGUAACGCGUUGGAAACUGCCCUUAGGUUCGGAAUAACUCCCCGAAAGGGGUUCUAAUACCGGCUAAUGUAUUCGGUCCAAAGCUUUAUCGCCUUUGGAUGGGUCCGCGGUGGAUUAGCUCGUUUGUAGGGUAAAAGCCUACCAAGGCGACGCUCCAUAGCUGGUCUGAGAGGAUGAUCAGCGACACUGGGACUGAGACACGGCAGCGACUCCUACGGGAGGCAGCAGUGGGGAAGAUUGGACAAGGGGCGAAAGCUUGAUCAAGCAAUGCCGCGUGAGUGAUGCAGGCCUUAGGGUUGUAAAGCUCUUUUACCCGGGACGAUAAUGACAGUACCGGGAGAAUAAGCUCCGGCUAACUACGUG
rnacentral:rRNA from 1 species